GAAAUUUCCUGAGAUUAAUCUGUUUGCAUCAGAAAGUGAUAAUCCAGGGAAAGAAAAGUGAAGUGAAAUUUUAGAAUCUAUUCCAAUCCAAAAAGACUAGUACUUGUUGAAAACUCAAAUUUGCAGUCUUACAGAAAGGAAACAGUUUUCUCACAGAAGCAGGAUGGAAAUUAGAAACCCAAAAAAAGAAGACAAAAUCUUGAAAAGAAUCUUGAGCUAUUUCCUCUGCUUGUUUCCUAACUGCUUAAUCCUCCAAUCUCCCAUUCUUUU
rnacentral:misc_RNA from 1 species